CACCGCGCGGCGCGGCGCCUGCCGAAAGGGUGGCCGCUGCACCUGUGUUGCAGCACCCUGUUCGGCCACCACGUCGACAGCGACCGCGACGGGUGGAUACCCUGACUACGAUGUCGUCGCAGUGCGCCCGCAGCCUGGAACAGGGCGACGAGGUGCUGCAGGUGCUGCGCAGAAUCGAGG
rnacentral:lncRNA from 1 species